CCACCCAAAACCCAGCGACCAAGGCUAGUCCGCAGCAAACAUGGAUAAAAAAUACUUGGGAAGAUGAUAUUGUCGAUUGGGGAUUCUUCUCCAACUCCUUCAUUUCCUUGUAAGAUCUUUUCCUUUUCUUUGUACUUCUUUUUUACUAUGCUCUAAUUGGAAAUUUAAAAUAUCCCGGGGUUUGAGACUUCGACUCGGCCCGGUUUUGGUCGGGACAGACUUCGGAUCGUCUCUAAUUGCUUUGACUGUUAAAUUGUUAAUACCAUCAUUAAUUUUUAAAUUUUCCGCCAAAAUUUAUGAUAUAAUUAUAUUUAUGUAUGAAAAUUUAAAAGGUCCUAAUAUUCUCUAAAUUUUUGUAUUAUUUAUAUAUUUAAAAUUUGAUAUUCCUACUUUUAACUUUAAAAAUUUAAUCUUUUUAUGUUUUUGAGUUUAAAAAUGUAAUUCUAUUUGUUAAUACUAUUAAAAUUUAUUUAUUAAAUUAAUUAGUAUAACAAGUUAAAAUUUAAAAAAAAACUUAUUUGGUAUUCAUGUAACAAAAUGAUAUUGUAAUUAACUUGAAUUUAAUAGAAAAUUUUAACAAUGUUAAAAAAUUUUAAAAAUUUAUACCAAAAUUUUGAUCGAAAUAAAGUAUUUAGAUUAACUAAUGACAUUAUAAGAGUUGAAGUGAUAAAGAUUAAAUUUCAGAUUUGAGCGAAGUAUAGAGAUCAAAACUGAAAUUUAAGUAUUUUUAUAUAAUCUCAAGAAAGUAAAGGGAUUAGAAUUGAAAAUUAGCCGUAAAAAAAUGGAAAAUGAACAGAUAUAGAUAUUGGGCGGUACUGUUGUGGGAGUAUAACUUAUUAUUAGGGAUUAUUUUGGCCCAACAGUAGAAUGCAAUUGUGGGUUUAGUAGUACAUGUCAUUUGUGAAAGUUAGGGCGUUCCCGCUCGGAAAAUCGAUUAAUAUCCAGUUAAUGAACAAAUAUGGGUAAAGGUAAUGUAAUGAUGAUGAUAGCCAGCCUUAUGAUUGUGGCGGCAGGAAAGAUUUUUCCUUUUCGCUUGGUUCUCGUAGUUUGAUUGCUUUAGGUCUGUUUUUUCUUUUGUCUAACACAAUCUAAAGUACUAAAUACCUUAUUCAAUGUCAGAUUCUAGUAGGAAGAUCUACCAUCAGUCCAACGUUUGAAUCGGUAUAAUUAAUAUGCUGUACAUACAACAAUCUUUGAACAGAUGUAAUUAACACGUUAAUGUUAUAUAUGCUUAGUCUACUGACACAUACAACAAUCUUUGAACAGAUGUAAUUAACACGUUAAUGUUAUAUAUGCUUAGUCUACUGACACACUUUUAUUGUAUAUCUAUAUAUUUUUUGGAAGCAAGUGACAAAUAUAACUUCAAUUUGUCUCCAUUAUAUACCAGUUUAUAGUGCUCGCCCAACUCGAAUUCUUUAUGUGAAUUUAACUUGGUACAUCUAGAAUAAGUAAACCCUAUUUGGGAUUACAGUAGCCAAUACAUAGAAACAGUACUAAACACUAAGCUACUAUUAGAACAUCGGGCACUUCCUAUUUGUCAUCACAUUUUGCUAUAUAGAAAAGCUUUACUGGUUGUGGGUUUAGAGAGAUGAUAUGCUCAAAUAUUCGGUGAGAAAUUGACACCUGAGAAGCGCUGGUUAGGGAGUGGAGGUAGGUAAUGAAAACUUGAAGACGUUCAUUUUGAGGGUGUAUUUUCAAUAUCAUGGAUAUGCCACUACCAGAUGGAGUAAUACUACCGAUCCCAUUAUUAUUCUUUGAUGAUGGUCGUAUUGGGGGAGGAUGCACUGAGCUCUGUAUUGGUGGAAUUGCCUUCUCGGGAGAUGCAUGUAAUGAGGUUGAUGAUGGCACCAUUGGAGGAGGAUGCAUUUUCUGUUUUGAUGGAACUGCUGGUGUAGGAGAUGCAUGGAAUGAGGUUGGUGAUGGCAUUAUUGGAGGAGGAUGCACUGAACUCUGUUUUGAUGGAACCGCUGGCAUGGGAAAUGCAUGUAAUGAGGUCGAUGAUGGCAUUGUUAGAGGAGGAUGCAUUGAGAUCUCUGUUCUGAUGGAACUGCCGCUGUAGGCGGCAACGGCACUGUGCCUAGCGGUGUAGGAGGUGAAAAUAAAUUUGAUGAAGGUAUAAUUAGCUUAGCGCAUGGAUUUACAGUUUCAUCGUUGUGAUCAAUUAUGUGGUCUACUUGUUGCUGCUCAGUUGUUGUUGAUCGAUGCUUCCUUUGGAGUUGGAGCACUACUCGUAAUCCAUCCAAUACCCUCAAACAUCAAUUCAAAGAUUGCUGAUGAUGAUGACAAUCUUAUUGCCAUGAGUGGUUUUGGUGAUGAUAUUGUUGAAGAUGGAGGUGGUAGGCUUGAGAUCCUUCCACCAAUAUUCAGAAUUAUCAACUCAUCGUUCAAGGACAGCCCUGUAGCAAGCAUCCUAAGGGGGAAAUAAAUAUAAAUAAAUAAACCAAUAAUAUUAAAUUCCUUGUAUAUAUAUUACCAGGAAAAACUCUUGCUUGAACAUCAAUAGGAAGAAAGUAGUGAGAGAGCUGAUUUUGGAAGCAGGCAAAAGCAUUAAUUAUGAUAAGAACAAAAUGAGUUGUAAAUAAAGUAUUUAUAUAUAUAUGAAACUAUACAUACGCAUUUACAUAGAUAUUAUGUCAAUAUCAAGCUAAUUAAUUUUAUUUUAUUUUUACAUUUAAAAAAAAUACGCCUUUGAAUACAUGUUGUAGAGUCAUGAAAAGGGCAGCAGUGUUUAACUAACUUAAGAGCAUGGUUAGCCAAUAGGACAGCAAAGGGGAACGGGGGAGAAAAUGGUGGUGGUGUGGAAAAGUAAUAGAGAGCUGAGUUUAGUCAUCUCAUAUGAAUCCUAUUUCUCCAUUAUUAAUCCAAAAAAAAAUUACAUGCAUCGACUUCACGUGUUAAUAUGAAAGGAAGAAAAGUCUUGUUCUCACCUCCGAUUAAAUCAUUUAUAUUUUUUAAACCAAGCCUAUAUAUGCAUGAGAUAAAUGGAAAGAGUCAAAUACAUUGUUAACUCUCUUAGCUGUGAAGAAGACUUCAAAUAUAUAUAUAUAUAUAUAUCUACGGAAAAUUAAUUUUAAAUUAUUUAAGAACUUUCUUGUUGGGCCAAAGUAGUGAUAUUACAAUCGGGCAGUGCUACCGGGUUUGAUAGUAUUAUAAUUUGGGAUUUGGCUCAAUGGUGGAACGCAGUUGUGGGUUUCCAGUUCGUUGAAGGUAUGCAUGCUGAUAGUCAGCCAUCUGGACUGUGGCCAUGGGGAAGACUUUUCUUUCGCUUGAUCUUUCUACUUUGAUAUAUGUCCGAAUUUUAUUUCUUUAUUGAGAUUUAGUUUUGA
rnacentral:lncRNA from 1 species